UAGGGGAUGUGACGGUCCCCACUGAGGCCCUCUAUUCUUGUGUUUUUAGUGCCCUCUCUCAGCAUCUUCUGGUUUUAUGAAGGAUCACUCCAUCCCCUGCUGGCCCAGCCUCAGAGGGAACCCAAGUGGCACGCCUGUCGCCAGCAAUCAGGGUUCCCUAGGGGAUUUUCUUUGUAUUUUUCUGCAGUGCUGAGGAAUGUAGGCAGGGCCUCCUGCUUGAGAGGCAAGUGGCUCACCGGGAGGGUAGGAGAUCCCGCUGUUAAGAGAGGUAAAGUUUCAGGGAAAUAGUCAGGACCCCUGGAUGGGACUACCAAAUCCUGCACUCCCGGGGUUCGUGUAUGUGCCUGAAAGGUACCCUUAACAGAAGAGCGUACUUUGGGAUUUAGCUCAGUGGAUAGUGUGCUCCUCUAGCAUUCAUGAAGCCCUGGGUUCUGUUCUUAGCGCUCGGGGGAUGAAAGCAAACAGAUCACAGGGUCAGCCUGGGCUACGUGAGGCUCUGCCUCAAAAAAGAAAAAAAAAGAAAGUCAAAUAUCACCUGUACAGACUAAUGAGACCACCCAAGAUCCCCACUGACAAAGCACCCCGGACCCCAGCUAUAUACUCUCUCCACUGGGUCCUAAAGACCACCCCCAUCCAUAGAGGCAUGCAGCCCUGCCCCCACAAAACCCCCUUAUCUGAGACUCCGAAGCAUCAGCGUUCACCCUGUCCCACCAGCUGCAGGUAGCAGGUCCCUGGUGUGGGAUGGACCCAGGGACCUGGCUCUGUCCGCUGCCCACUGGGCAGUGUUGCUGCUCAGGCUGGUGAGGUGGUCCCCCCAUAAUGGAAAGAACUGUGGAAGUAAAGAGAUACUCAGGCAGAUGAAAACGAGCUAGCCCCUGCUCACAGGCAGCCCAGCCCGCCCCCCAGUCAUCUGGUACGUGAUCUUCAACGAAGGUCUGAGCCCUCUGUCACCAGCUCCUCCUAGCCACAUUUCCCAGGCUGACCUUUAAAAGUCCCCAGCCACCUCUGGGCCACCAGCCAGAGCCUCUGGAUUGGAUGUGGGGACAAGGCCAGGCUCUGCUGAGGCAACUGAAGAGGGGAGCCAAAGGGAGGAAGUGUUCAUUUUGACCCUAGGGUUUAAUGGGAUACAGUCCAUCAUGGCGGGGAGAGGUGUGGCAGCAGGACUGUGAAGCCGGUCACAUUGCAUCUGCAGUCAUGAAGCUGAGAGGCGGAUGCUGCUGCCCCACUCACUUUCUCCUGUUUAUCUGGGACAAGAGCCUAGCCUGUGGAAGGUUGCCACAUUGAGGGUAGGUCUCCUGGGCAGGUUGACUCAGAGGUUUGUCUUCUAGGUGGUUCUUGAUCCUGUCAGGAUGACUGUUAACCAUCACAGGACACCCCUCACCCCGCCGUGUUCCUCUGUGGGAUACCAUAGGUGGCGUCGGCACUUGGCGUGGUGAGGGGAGCCUAGAUGAGAACAGGGAGGGGGUAUAGGGACAUAGCUUGGGGUUUUCAAAUGAUGGGUGUGCUGAAAGUUGGCGUAUGGCCUGGAAGGGUGGCAGACCUCCAGUUUUACAUCCAGGAGGGAAGCAAGGCCAACAAUGGCCGACAGCCAGUCAGCCUUGCUUUGCUAUUGUGCUGUUGUGACAGUGUACAACUCACUUAAUAGACCUAACCUCAGAGUUCAUCCCAGCUCCCUUUUUCAUGUCCGUUUUCUAAUUAUAAGCAGCAAAAGGAUGCAUUUAACCGACCCCGGGGCAACCCCAGCUUGAGCUCUAGCCCUUCCUCUGAAGGCAACUUGACUGGGGAAGGGCAGGUGCUGGGCCUGUUGCUGAAGGCACCAGGAGAGGCCCGAGGCCUAGGCUAUGACUCUUGCAGGUAUCAGUUUGGUGGUGGUGAUGUAUGGCUCUUGGUAGAAGAGAGGAAGCUGGGAGAGUCAGACGUGCAGGGUGGCCCAG
rnacentral:lncRNA from 1 species